CCUACGGGUGGCAGCAGUGAGGAAUAUUGGUCAAUGGGCGCGAGCCUGAACCAGCCACGCCGCGUGAGUGAUGACUGCCCUCCGGGUGGUAAACUCUUUUUAUAAAGAAAUAAAGUGAGGCACGUGUGCCUUUUUGUCUGUACUUUAUGAAUAAGGAACGGCUAACGCCGUGCCAGCAGCCGCGGUAAUACGGAGGAUGCGAGCGUUAUCCGGAUUUAUUGGGGUUAAAGGGAGCGUAGAUGGGUUGUUAAGUCAGUUGUGAAAGGUUGCGGCUCAACCGUAAAAGUGCAAUUGAUACUGGCAGUCUUGAGUACAGUAGAGGUAGGUGGAAUUCGUGGUGUAGCGGUGAAAUGCGUAGAUAUAAGGAAGAACACCGAUUGCGAAGGCAGCUUACUAAACUGCCACUGACAUUGAUGCUCGAAAGUGUGGGGAUCAAACAGGAUUAGAUACCCGAGUAGUC
rnacentral:rRNA from 1 species